AACGGAAAUUGUGGAUUUCCUUUAGAUAUGAGAAUUUGCGGACUUUCUACUUUGGAUGUGGAUGAAUGGGGCAUGGGUUCAAAGAUUGUAUUGGGCUAAUACCUGCAGAAAAAAAAAUAGAGAUGAACUAAAUUUAAUUGGGAAAGAGAGCUUGUAAUUUAGUUCACUCUUAAAAAAUAUGAUGCCCCAAUGUUCCUAUACAGGUGACACGGAGAUGUUUUCUGGGAUAAAUAAAAAGCAAGAUGAUGGGAUUGCUAUGGCCUAGAGCUUGUAAGAUAAAUUACAACUAAAAAAGAGAGAGGAUAAGGAGAAGAUGUAGGAGGAAGGGUCUGUAAUGAAGAACAUUAAAAGAUUGAAUGGAAGAAAUAACACAUUAGAAGAUAAAUCGAAACCAAUCAAGAAGACAAGCUGGAAAAGAAUUAGUCCAGCGAUCUUGAUGAAUCAAGAUGAGGAAUAUAACGUAAUGAGAAAGAGGAAAUCAACAAAAAAUAUAAACUGAUGAAUGUUGUAUAGAAAAGUCUCAUAAAGACGGAGCUAAAAGAAUGAAACACAAAAAUAAAGAUAUACAUGUCGAAGCUGUUUCAGUUUUGUCGGUAGAAAACUUAGAACAAAUUUGUGUUCCCAAUCAUUAUGGAUUGGCGGCUGCCAAAAGGCGAGUCAACUGGGUGCAAUGAAAACUAUAUGUUUGAAUGUUCAUGGAUUGAGGGGUCUACGAGCUGUACGGAGGCUUCGGUAUUUGAUGAAGUAACACAAUCCCCAAAUGGUCUUCUUUAUGGAGACAAAAAUCGAUGAGAAACGUAUGGAAAAAGUUAGAAGGGGAUGCGAUUUUGUGAAUGGAAUUGAUGUAGGAGUAGAAGGUCCUCGGGGUGGACUAUGCUUGGCAUGGAAAGGGGAAAUUACGAUUAGCUUAAGGAGUUUCUCUAGAUGUCAUAUUGAUGUAAUGAUUAAAGAGGAUAUUGUAGCAGAGGAAUGGAGAUUUAUGGGGUUUUAUGGCUCACCUUAUGUAAGCAAUAAGAAUUCCUCGUGGAAUUUAUUAACAAAACUGGGUCAAGAACAAAAUCAUCCUUGGUUGGUAAGUGGUGACUUUAACGAAAUCAUGUAUUCUUUUAAAAAGAGUGGAGGAAUACCGAGGGAGGAAAAAAAGAUGGAGGCAUUCUGUGAGGUUCUUGAGGAAUGCCAAUUAGUGGAUGCAGGGUAUACGAGGGUAUGGUUUACAUGGGAGAGAGGGAACUUGCCGGAAACAAACAUAAAGUAGCGAUUAGAUAGGGGAGCUGGGAAUGAAAAAUGGAUGUAUCUUUUUCCAGAAAGCAGCAUUCAAAUUAAGGAAUCUAUUGAAUUAGAAAUUAAGGACUCUUAGUAGUCAUCAACUGGUUCGCUCAUUAAAACACUUGAAAUGUUGCAAAUCAAAUUAAAGAGGUAGGUAAGCACAAUUAAGAUAGGCCGGAACUAUUUAAAACAAAAACUUACUAAGGAACUGAAAAAUCUAAUAGAGAAGAAGAGGGAUGAAGAUAUGAUGGCAAAGCUAAUUGAUACCAAAAUUUAACUUAAUAUGGAGAUUGAUAAAGAUAAAAUAUAUUGGGAACAAAGGGCAUGGGCCAAUUGGCUUCAAUUAGGGGAUAAGAAUUCUACCUUUUUUCAUAAGUAUGCCCUAGUCCGUAGAUGGAUAAACACAAUAACUAGGUUGGAACCAGAUGAAGGAAUAGAGAUCCGCGACGAAACAGAGAUUAAUGAGGCUGCUACUACAUUUUUCCAGAAGUUAUUUUCGUCUAAUGGAAUUGGGAAUUUAUCCAAUCUACUAGCAGGCAUUGAUAUUAAUAUCUCCUCUGAUAUCAAUACAGCUUUAUCAUCAGCAUAAACGAAAAAAAAGGUUCAUUCGGCUUUGAAAGGAAUGGGGCCUACUAAAGCAGCAGGCAUAGACGAUUUUCCGGCAUUAUUUUUCAGAGAUACUGGCACAUUGUAGGUAAAGAUGUCAAAACUUUCUGUUUGGGAAUUUUGAAUGAUGGUAAUGACUUUGACUCUCUAAAUUUGACGGAUAUUGUGCUUAUUCCAAAAAUACUAAAUCCCACAAGUCUUGUUACUUUUAGACCUAUUAGUUUAUGUACUGUUAUUUACAAAAUUAUGGCGAAAACAAUUGCAAAUAUUCUUCAAGGAGUCAUUAGGAGAUGUAUUGAUAGUGCUCAAAGUGCUUUCAUCCUCGGAAGAUUAAUCUCUGGAAAUGUGCUAUUAGCCUAUGAAAAUUUACACACUUUUCACCAGAAGCGUAUCGAAAAGAAAUGAUAUAUGGCAGUGAAAAAGCUAGAUAUGAGCAAAGCCUACGAUAGAGUUGAAUGGGGUUUUCUAAAGGAAGUAAUGCUACGAAUGGGCUUUGAGGGGAAUUGGUGGCACUAAUUAUGAAAUGUAUCUCCUCAGUUUCUUAUACAGUAAACAUUAAUGAGAGAAGGGGAAACAUUUUCAAACCUACUAGGGGGCUCCGGCAAGGCGACGCACUUAGUCCUUUCCUUUUUUGAUAUGCAAUAAGGGACUUUCAUCUUUUAUGAGACUAGAAAUGAGAGAGGCAUUGUCAAAAGGAGCAAAAGCUAGCAAAAGGGGACCAGAGAUAUCACACUUGCUUUUCGCAUAUGAUUGUAUUCUAUUUGGUGAAGCAACAAAUAGAGGAGCGUUGAUAUUGAAAGAAAUUAUGACGGAAUACGAACGAUGUUCAGGCUAAUGCAUGAAUUUUAACAAAUCAACGAUCUUCUACAGUUCAAACACACAGGGGGAAAAAGAAAGGAUCUUGAAUUUGUUGGGUGUGAGAAGCUCAACAAAUCUGGAAAAAUAUUUGGGACUCCCUAAUGUGGUCGGUAGACGCAAGAAAGAAUCCUUUCAAAAUCUUAAGGACAGGGUUUACUUGCGAAUUGAAGGAUGGAGUACAAGGAUACUAUCACAAUGGGGUAAGGAGGUCUUCAUAAAAUCAGUGCUUUAGGCAAUACCAAUUUAUGCUAUGUCAUGCUUUCUUCUUCUGAAAUCCUCAUGUGGGGAAUUAGAAAACAUUUUUGCUAAAUUUUGGUGGCAAAAAGGACAUGAGAAAAAAGGAUUGGUGCCAGUAAAAGCAUAUGUGUCGUUCAAAAGAGGAGGGGGAAUGGGUUUUAGAAGUAUGACUCAGCUUAAUAUUUUCGUAUUAGCGAAACAAAGGUGGGGAAUUAUAAAUAACCCAAAUUAUCUAGUGGCAUGAGUGCUCAAACUAAAGUAUUUUCCAAAUAAUGAUUUUUUUAAUUCGCGAUUGGGAAAUACAAGUUCUUAUAUAUAGAGAAGUAUUUGGGCGGCGAAGGUUAUUUUGGUGAAAGGGCUUUGUUGGUGGGUACGGGUAUGAAUGUUUCAAUUAAUAAUCAUGCUUGGAUUCCAGAUGUAGUAAUAAAAGAAUAUGGAAACGGGAGCUAAUAGCUAAUACCUUUUUGGAGGGAGAUGCUGAAAAGAUUCUUUGUAUCCCGUUGGCACAAGAACCCCACGAUGAUUUUCUUGUAUGGAGUGGUGAAUCUUCGGGAAAAUUUUCGUUUCGUAGCGCCUACAAACUAUUACAAAAUUAUGGUUAUAAUCCUAGAGCUUAUGCUUUACAAAUCGACUAUAGGAACUUUUACAAAUAACUAUGGCUCGAAAAUCUCCCUACAAAAAUCAAAAUCACAAUCUGGAGGAUAUCAUGGAACUACUUGCCUACACUAGUUAACAUGCAGCAUAGGAAGCUAGUUAAUAACACAAUUUGUCCCCGGUGUAGAGGAGGAGCUGAAACAAGUGAUCAUCUAUUCCGCAAAUGCCUUCUUUUAGUUGAAGUCUGGACAGCAUUAUCAUUCCCAAAUAUUUUAAUAGCUACUAAUAUGGAUUUUAUACAAUGGCUUACCUGGGUUUUUGAUCAUUACCCCCUUACCACUGUCGACUAUUCUGUUGUGCACUAUGGGACAUUUGGAGAGAUAGAAAUGCUAGAAUGCAUGAGAAGAAAAUUAGCACUGGUCAGAAAAUAGCGAGAUUCAUUAAUAACUAUAUUUCUAAGUUGAACGGUAUCGAAAAAAGAAAUCCUUCAAAUUCGAAUGAGAUUAGAAAAUAGAGUCACCCACCUAGUGAUAUCGUUAAAAUCAAUUUUGACGAUGCGCACGAUGGGCAUCACCACCAAUCAGCUUCGGGUAUUGUGGCCAAAAACACUAACGGGACCGUCCUUUUAUCUUGCUCAGAAAUCCAUCAAGAGGUGGCCUUCGCUUUCGCUACUAAAGCGCUUGCAUGCCGAAGAGCAGCCCAAAUAGGUAGGUAUCGAAAUACAGUGGCCGGAGAUCAUUAUUGAAGGUGACUUAUUAGCAAUAAUCAAGAAAUGUAAAUCAAAAAGUCAAGAUAGAUCACAGGUAGGAGUGUACAUACAUGAUAUUCAACAGAUAACAACUAGAUCCAGUAAUUUCGUGUUCAAAUAUACUCCGAGAUUAGCAAAUGUUUUAGACCAUAUGUUGAUGUGGAUGGUUUUUCUUCUGUCAUUUUUGCCAUAGCUUCUAUUUAAUAGCCACCAAAUGCGGAAUACCCACAAGCUUUAGGAAAUGUUUCUGAUGUGUAAGAUCAGACUAAGCUGCAAACACAGAGCAUACUACAAAACCUUGGCUCGGAUACCAAUUGUUGCGGAAGC
rnacentral:lncRNA from 1 species